UACGGAGGGUGCGAGCGUUGUUCGGAAUUACUGGGCGUAAAGCGCGUGCAGGCGGCCGACUAAGUCAGGUGUGAAAGCCCGGGGCUCACCUCCGGAAGUGCGCUUGAAACUGGUCGGCUAGAGUACGGGAGAGGGAAGCGGAAUUCCUGGUGUAGCGGUGAAAUGCGUAGAUAUCAGGAGGAACACCGGCGGCGAAGGCGGCUUCCUGGACCGGCAUUGACGCUGAUGAGCGAAAGCUAGGGGAGCAAACGGG
rnacentral:rRNA from 1 species